rnacentral:rRNA from 1 species
AUGAGAGCCGGAGGCACACCCGGACCAACAAGGAUGCAGACCUCUCCUCCGGCUUACCUGAAGCAUCAAGGAAGCGCCGGACCGAGGUUAUCUCCAACUUAUAUCCUUUUCAUCCUUUGGCGGGCGUCACUCGUCAACCGCUCAAUUCUUCUGAUUCAAACUAUCAGGAAACUUCACCUUCCUCCGGGGACUCCAUGCAAUCUAACUUGCCGGCUUUCAAGACCGCACCCGGGUAAUGAUGAUCAGCUUAUGUUGUGCUUAUCUUACUCAUGUUUUUGCAUUAACCUUUUGACUUUCAGUGCCCAAGCAAAGCUCAGCAAGAGGGCAAAGAAAAGUAACCCGGUCGAAGAGCCGGUCUUGACUGAACCCAACGCCUCUGCUUCGGAGCCGCCGUCUGCACCAGCUCCAGAAACCACCGCUCCAACUGAACAACAAGCCAUGGAGAGUUCUGACAACCCGGAGAUCCCCAGCUCAGCUCAACCGGCCGAUGACCCGGAUGUGGUGAUUACCCGGACCGAAUAUGUUGAGCCGGGAAGACCCACUGUGCUGGCCAGAUGCUCUGCUAAAGAAGAACUGCUGGAGCGCCGCAAGGCCAGACUGGAUAUCACUGACUAUGCUAACUUGAGCAUUGAAGACAUUGUUUCUGGUUAUAUUGGUCAAGUGCAUAACAGCCGGGACCUGAAGAUUGACAUGGUGAAGCAGAUACAGCAAAAAUCCGAGGCUGUCUGCAAGAAAUUUGAAUCGGAAAUCUCUGAGCUGAAGAACCGCCUGAAGACUCAGGAAACUGAGACCCGGAAGGCCAAUGCCAAGUUUGAGUUCAGUGUUGCUGCACAAGAAAAACUGAAGAAAAAUUUGAAACAGAAAGAAAAACUUGGGCCGACGAGAAGACUGCCUUGCUGA